GGUACUAAAAAACCGGAUCGAACUGGUUUGCAACAAACAUGUCUUCAUUGUCGUUAGUGAAAGCAAUGUCAAAUUCAAAACAAAUACGCUUAUAAGACAAAAAAGUCAGUGAAUGUAAAGAUAAACUAAUGAAAGUUAGCGUACAUAUAGUUUCCUUGGAAUUACCCACGGUUUCUGAUUGAUGGGGUACCUUUUCGACAGCACUGACCCCACUGGGUCAAACUAAAUAGUGGUUUUAUGAAAUGUCAUACAAUGACGCACACCGAUGUUCAAUUAAAGUAAGACACUGUCUGGGUGUGUGACGUAUGACGUGCCGGUGUUUACUCUGCUCCUUGUGGGUAAAGUGCUGGAUUAUCGGAUCUUUUAUCCUCCAUGACAGACCCGGUACCUGAAUAUCGAUUACAUGUCAAACUUAGGGGUGUAUAUCCCCGUGAUUCCGCACACGGGUAUAAUUCGAUGCAAAUACAAAAACCCAUCCUACGAAAAGCAGACAUCCUCGGGUGUGUGAACCUUUCUCCUUCCAUUCCUGCAAUGAAAAUACAGUGAUCAAUGCAUUGUUUGAAGAAAAGAAAGGUCAAAAAAUAUCUCUAUGAAAUUUUGAGCAAAUGUACUUACACUGUGAGAGACGAAGAUAUUGUUAAAAAAAAUAAAUCUUUUUUUUACUAUUA